UCAUUAUGCUUGUCUCAAAGAUAAAGCCAUGCAUGUCUAAGUACGAAACUUCUUACACGGUGGAAACCGCGAAUGGCUCAUUAAAUCAGUUAUGGUUUAUUAGAUGGUGCUAUCCUACUUGGAUAACUGUGGUAAUUCUAGAGCUAAUACAUGCUACAAAGCUCCGACCCUCGUUGGAAAGAGCGCUUUUAUUAGAUCAAGACCAACCGGUACUCGCCCUCGGGUGUUGCCGUCGGAUUGAUGACUCUGGAUAACCUUUGCCGAUCGUAUGGCCCCGCGCCGACGACGCAUCUUUCAAAUGUCUGCCCUAUCAACUUUCGUUGGUAGGUGAUUUGCCUACCAAGGUGUUUACGGGUAACGGGGGAUCAGGGUUCGAUCCCGGAGAGGGAGCAUGAGAAACGGCUACCACAUCCAAGGAAGGCAGCAGGCGCGCAAAUUACCCACUCUUGGCACGAGGAGGUAGUGACGAAAAAUAACAAUACGGGACUCAAUCGAGGCCCCGUAAUUGGAAUGAGUACACCUUAAAUCCGUUAACGAUCACCUAUUGGAGGGCAAGUCUGGUGCCAGCAGCCGCGGUAAUUCCAGCUCCAAUAGCGUAUAUUAAAGCUGUUGCAGUUAAAAAGUUCGUAGUUGGAUCUCGGGCCAGGGCUUGCGGUCCACCGCGCGUGGUCACUGCUCGUCUCCCUGCGUCCCCUCGUGCCGGUUGUCCCUUGAUGCUCUUAGGUGAGUGUCUCGGGUGGCCGGAAAGUUUACUUUGAAAAAAUUAGAGUGUUCAAAGCAGGCCACAGCUGCCUGGAUAACGUUGCAUGGAAUAAUGGAACAGGACCUCGGUUCUGUUGUGUUGGUUUUCGGAACUUCCGAGGUAAUGAUCAAAACCGACCGACGGGGUGGUUCGAAUUGCAGCGUUAGAGGUGAAAUUCUUGGAUCGCUGCAAGUCGCCCGGCGGCGAAGGCUUUCCACACGAAGGUACGGCUUGAUCAAGGACGAAAGUGGAAGGUUCGAAGACGAUUAGAUACCGUCCUAGUUUCCACCGUAAACAUGCGGACUGAUAAUGCGAAAACGUUCGAAUUACGUGACAUUUCGCGCGAUCUCCGGGAAACCAAAGUUUCUACGUUCUGGGGGAAGUAUGGUUGCAAAGCUGAAACUUAAAGGAAUUGACGGAAGGGCACCACCAGGAGUGGAGCCUGCGGCUUAAUUUGACUCAACACGGGAAAACUCACCCGGCCCGGACACCGUCAGGAUUGACAGCUCGAGAGCGCUUUCUCGAUUCGGUGGUUGGUGGUGCAUGGCCGUUCUUAGUUGGUGGAGUGAUUUGUCUGGUUAAUUCCGAUAACGAACGAGACUCUGGCCUAUUAAAUAGUCCGACGGUUCACGCUGGCCGUCGCCGACUUCUUAGAGGGACUGGUGGCGUUCAGCCACACGAAAGUGAGCAAUAACAGGUCUGUGAUGCCCUUAGAUGUUCGGGGCCGCACGCGCGCUACACUGAAUGAAUCAGCGUGUGUCUACCCUGGUCGGGAACGACCGGGUAACCCGUUGAACCUCAUUCGUGCUAGGGAUUGGGGAUUGCAAUUGUUCCCCAUGAACGAGGAAUUCCCAGUAAGCGCGAGUCAUAAGCUCGCGUUGAUUACGUCCCUGCCCUUUGUACACACCGCCCGUCGCUACUACCGAUUGGACGUUUGAGUGAAAACCUCGGAUCGGCAACCGUCGCCGGCGCGUUCGCGUGUCGCGCGUCGAGUCUUGCUGAAAAGACGCUUGAACUCUAUCGUCUAGAGGAAGUAAAAGUCGUAACAAGGUUUCC
rnacentral:rRNA from 1 species